GAAAUAGAGGAUAAAGUUAGGAUAGAGUUUAGUUCCUACGAAUGCCGCUACAGUGCGCUUCACGCGUAGCGAUCUUCUCGCAAGUAGAAUCGUCAUGUUGAUUUACAAAUUGUCGUGGAAAAGGGAGCGAGGCAUACUUACCUGGCGCAGAGGUAACCGUGAUCACAAAGGCGGUCCCUCCAGGGCGAGGCUUUUCCAUUGCACUGUGGCUGAGCUGACCCCUGCGAAUACCCCUAAUGUGGGUAUCUCGGGCGGAACGCACGUCGACUGU